UACGAAGGGGGCUAGCGUUGCUCGGAAUCACUGGGCGUAAAGCGCACGUAGGCGGGUCGUUAAGUCGGGGGUGAAAUCCUGGAGCUCAACUCCAGAACUGCCUUCGAUACUGGCGAUCUUGAGUCUGGGAGAGGUGAGUGGAACUCCGAGUGUAGAGGUGAAAUUCGUAGAUAUUCGGAAGAACACCAGUGGCGAAGGCGGGUCUCUGGGCCGAUACUGACGCUGAGGAGCGAAAGCGUGGGGAGCGAACAGG
rnacentral:rRNA from 1 species